rnacentral:rRNA from 1 species
CCUACGGGAGGCUGCAGUGGGGAAUAUUGGACAAUGGGCGAAAGCCUGAUCCAGCCAUGCCGCGUGUGUGAAGAAGGCCUUCGGGUUGUAAAGCACUUUCAGUGGGGAAGAAAGCCUUGGGGCCAAUACCCUCGAGGAAGGACAUCACCCACAGAAGAAGCACCGGCUAACUCCGUGCCAGCAGCCGCGGUAAUACGGAGGGUGCGAGCGUUAAUCGGAAUUACUGGGCGUAAAGCGCGCGUAGGCGGUCUGAUAAGCCGGUUGUGAAAGCCCCGGGCUCAACCUGGGAACGGCAUCCGGAACUGUCAGGCUAGAGUGCAGGAGAGGAAGGUACAAUUCCCGGUGUAGCGGUGAAAUGCGUAGAGAUCGGGAGGAAUACCAGUGGCGAAGGCGGCCUUCUGGACUGACACUGACGCUGAGGUGCGAAAGCGUGGGUAGCAAACAGGAUUAGAUACCCUGUAGUC